GAGGAGUCCGCGGCUGAUUAGCCAGUUGGCGGGGUAAUGGCCCACCAAGGCGAAGAUCGGUAGCCGGCCUGAGAGGGCACACGGCCACACUGGCACUGAAACACGGGCCAGACUCCUACGGGAGGCAGCAGUGGGGAAUCUUGCACAAUGGAGGAAACUCUGAUGCAGCGACGCCGCGUGAGCGAUGAAGCCCUUCGGGGUGUAAAGCUCUUUCGACGGGAACGAUAAUGACGGUACCCGAAGAAGAAGCUGCGGCUAACUACGUGCCAGCAGCCGCGGUAAUACGUAGGCAGCAAGCGUUGUUCGGAAUUACUGGGCGUAAAGAGUGUGUAGGCGGUGUUCUAAGUUUGUCGUGAAAUCUCCCGGCUUAACUGGGAGGGUGCGGCGAAAACUGGAAUGCUAGAGGAUGGGAGAGGUAAGCGGAAUUCCUGGUGUAGCGGUGAAAUGCGUAGAUAUCACGAGG
rnacentral:rRNA from 1 species